rnacentral:lncRNA from 1 species
CAGAUUUUCAAAGAGUUACGGCACAGUGGCUUCUUUCUGAAGUCUAAACUUCUGAGAAUUGCUCCAAGCUUGCAGGAUGAGAUGGGAAACCAUGAAAGACCCACACAGCUAUGUUGUGGAUUCUUAGGAACUCCCUGUACUGGAGGAGGCGGCGAAAGGGCAGCUCAAAAGGAAAACAAGAGCAGCUUGGUAACCCCUGAGAAGCCUCUGUGCAUGUGGUCUUGUGUACACAAACAGACAUGAAGCCUGAGAGCAAAGCUGAAAAAUACAAUCACUGUGGUUUCUGGAUUCGUUUAACUGCUGGUCACGACAUAGGAUUGUUCUCCUGGCUGUUCCAGGAGCAAAUACCCACGUGUCCAUCUGUCUGUGUAUCUUCCUGUCCAGAUGUGGCUCUGUGUGUGUGUGGAUCUCCCUGUCGUCCCAGUUUUUCC